UCGCCGCCGCCCCCGCCCCCUGCCGAGCCGCCCGCGAGCCGCGCCGGGCCGGGCCGGGCCGGGAGCCGCCGGAGCUGGAACUGGUACCGGUGUCGGCUCCGCUGCCGCGGCCGCGCCCGCCGCUGCUGGGGGAGGCGGUGCCCGCGCCGCGCCCCCGCGCCCCGCCCGCCCCCGGCAGCAGCAGCAGCGGCAGCGGCAGCCUCAGCACCUCCGCCAGCUCCGCCAGCAGCUCCAGCGGCAGCACCAUGGACCUCUCCUUCAUGGCCGCGCAGGUGCUUCCUGUUAUGGGAGGAGCCUUUAUGGACUCACCCAACGAGGACUUUAGUACAGAGUACUCCCUGUUUAACUCAUCAGCCAACGUCCAUGCAGCUUCUUCCAUGCAGAAUCCACCAGAAGAGACGUCCCGUUCUUCAAAUGAUGCCAUAUUGUUAUGGAUUGCAAUAAUAGCAACAAUUGGAAAUAUUGUGGUUGUGGGAGUGGUGUAUGCCUUCACCUUCUAGGAUGACUGUCACUACAAACACUGGAAGAAAGGAAAUCUUCAACAGUAUUUGUCAUGUGGCCUAAGCACUAAAAUGGGAGU